GACGAACGCUGGCGGCGUGCUUAACACAUGCAAGUCGAACGGAAAGGCCCUGCUUUUGUGGGGUGCUCGAGUUGCGAACGGGUGAGUAACACGUGAGUAACCUGCCCUUGACUUUGGGAUAACUUCAGGAAACUGGGGCUAAUACCGGAUAGGAGCUCCUGCUGCAUGGUGGGGGUUGGAAAGUUUCGGCGGUUGGGGAUGGACUCGCCGCUUAUCAGCUUGUUGGUGGGGUAGUGGAUUACCAAGGCUUUGACGGGUAGCCGGCCUGAGAGGGUGACCGGCCACAUUGGGACUGAGAUACGGCACAGACUCCUACGGGAGGCAGCAGAGGGGAAUAGUGCACAAUGGGCGGAAGCCUGAUGUAGCAACGCCGCGUGCGGUAUGACGGCCUUCGGGUUGUAAACCGCUUUCGCCUGUGACGAAGCGUGAGUGACGGUAAUGGGUAAAGAAGCACCGGCUAACUACGUG
rnacentral:rRNA from 1 species